GAUGAUGUCCUGACCCCACCUAACUUAGUUUAAUUUUUCAUAAUUUUUGUGAUUAAUUUUACUAUUUAUUUGACAUUUUUUAAGUUAACUUGACUUUUCGGUUGACUAACCUAACUUAGUUUAAUUUUUCAUAAUUUUUGUGAUUAAUUUUACUAUUUAUUUGACAUUUUUUAAGUUAACUUGACUUUUCGGUUGACUUUUCUAUGAUUGAUGUUUGACAUAGGGAUUGCUUAGGACAAUUGAAGAGAUCUUUUGAUCCUCCCUUGUUCAUCUCAUGUGCCACAUAUUAGAGGCCUUUCAUCUUGAUUUUAUUUGAUCCUUGCAUCAUUUCCCGAUUAAAUUGUUCAUUGAUUCUUUGUGUGCAUAAUUUCAC
rnacentral:lncRNA from 1 species